rnacentral:lncRNA from 1 species
GCUAAGUGCUUCUGUCGCAACUGCAGAGAGCCGGAGCCAGACACCCCAAUGGAUUGCCGGGGGCCCCUGGAACUGCCCUCCAUCAUCCCCCCAGAGAGGGUCAGAGUAUCCCUCUCUGCGCCCCCACCCCCCUACAGUGAGGUGAUUCUGAAGCCCAGCCUGGGCCCAACUCCCACAGAGCCACCCCCUCCCUACAGCUUCAGGCCUGAAGAAUAUACCGGGGAUCAGAGGGGCAUUGACAACCUGGCCUUCUGAGUCACCUCCUGCCUGGAAUCUUGCCAUCAGCAACCUCCUCCCCAGUGCCUCCUGGAUCAAGCUAGAGACUGCUGGCACCCCAGGAAUGUCCCUGCCCAUCCUGCCGUGUCUCUGUUCAUUCUUGGAUUUAACUUAUUACUUUUUCUGCCUCUGUUUCCACCCCAGCUGCCUCUCUUGUCCUGAGGGUUAGGCUGGAGUGACAGUUUCCGCCCACCCCCCAACCCAAGAAAGAGGCUGCCGGAAAGAAAAUGCUGACCAUUGGAGGUGCCCAACAGUAGAAUGGGCUACUGUGAGGGGUAGUAAGAGCCCCAUUUCUGGAGGUAUGCAAAUCUUGACUGGACAGCCAGCUCUGAGAUUUUAUCAGGGCACUUCUAUACCUGUGGAACAUUGGACUGGAUGAGCCCUGAGCCAGCUUCCACUCCUACCUGAAUAGAGAACUCACUGC